GUCCAUCUUGAGAAGGAUACAACAAUGGGAUUUGUGUUUCGCAAAACUGCGUAGAGCGAAAAACCCUGCCAUGAGUUCCAGGCAGUUUAUAUGCAUAUUCGUCUCUUCUAGAGACUAUUUGCCUCCACAAUGAGCUCCCCAGCCUAAACGACUUGCGUCGGAUUCUAUAGUUAGGUCUGGGAAUGACGUGAAAAUGGCUUUCCCGUUCCAAAUUUGAACGUGAUCUAACCACCAGGAAAGUUCUAUUCUUAUCUCUGAAGUUAGAG